AAGGUACUUCCUCUGUCCGAAAAUACUUGUCAUGAAAUGGAUAAAUAUAUAUGUAUCUAGAACUAAAAUACAUCUAGAUACAUCAUCUUUUAUCCAUUUUGAUGACAAGUAUUUCCGGACGGAGAGAGUAAAAG
rfam:Triticum aestivum genome assembly, contig: Triticum_aestivum_CS42_TGACv1_scaffold_404355_5BL